rnacentral:lncRNA from 1 species
AGAUGGAAGAUAUUGGCAAGCAUAUUAUGUUUUGAUAUUCCACACUUCAUAUACAUACAAUUUUUUGCAAUGAACUAAAGAAAGUAUUUACAGAUAAAUAAAUAAGAAUCAGAAAUUGAAAACAAGGUGGUUACUUAGUAAAAACAAUUCCAGCUAAUCUACUCUUCUACCAACUGAAACCACUCGACCGAUCUCACUUGAAAAUUGGUGUAAAAGUUGCCGAGCUUACCCUUUCUUUCUACUAGAGUCGGGCCGAUCGGGUGUCUUCAUUCAAGCGAAGAAGAACGAAAUGAAGUGAAAGGCCGGGGCCAGGGAAAGCCAAAGCUUGUAAAAUCUAAAAUCCCCUUACUGAACUCUGCCAAACUUCAACAUAUUGCUGAUCUUUUCUUGUAACAAACAUUUUGUUCCCUCCAAAACUGAAGUGUGUUAUCUUAUUACCACAAAUAUCUUUUGCUCUUCCCAUUGAGUUUUUCCUAAAGACUCUAUCUUUUAUAGAAUUACCAAUCAAAACCUCUGACCACAAUUCAAGAUUUCCUCCUUUACUACAAAAUACUUGAUUUCCAUGACUCUCAAUCUUACAACCAAAACCUUCUUUUUUACCAUUUGUUACCUUUCUUUGAUCACCAAGACAAGUCCAAGAAUUCUCACCACCAAUAUUCCUCAAAUCAGAAAUGAAAACUUCACCCGAAUGCACGCCAACUUUCAAAAUGGCGGAAAGAUCAUCCGAAACUGUACAAUCAGAGAAACAAUCAACAUUUUCCUUUAUCUCCCACACUACAUUACCUGACCUUAUAUCCCAAAAUCUAAUAUUCCCCCUUACACCAGAAGGUCCGCAAUGCGAUCCAGCCGCCAUUAACAAGUUAUGACUAGAAAUCCAACUCAAUUUAGUAGCUGGAAUUGCUGAAUCCAAUUCAGCACCAAAUAUUUCAUAAUGUCCAAUCUCAGCAACGGGCCUAAAACUAUCAUUAAGAUCAUAUAUCAUAAUGCAGUUAGAAUUUCUCCUACUUGAUUCAAAACUAGUAAACAAGAAAUCUUUUGAGGAUCCAAUUGCUUGUACUGUUGAACCAGAUUUAGUCACAUUUUCCCAAUUUAAUGUCUCCUUAACAAACCCUUUACUAACAUCAAUAAUUUGUAAUCCUGAAAAGUCAGUAGCACCAGCUGCUACAAUACUAGGGGACAAAGAUAACAUAGAAUCAAUUCCAGCGAAUUGAGUCAAAAUAGUGGAUUUUCUCUUAAGUGACCAAUCAAAUGAAGUUAUUUUACAACCAUGAGCAACUUGAACUGAACCAAGUUGAGUUGUGGAAAUAGCAGUAGGUGAAUCCCUACCACUUAAAGGCAAAAUAACAGAUUUUUCAAGAUCAAAAGGCUCAAACUGAGAUGGGUUUGAUUG